rnacentral:lncRNA from 12 species
AUGCGGACCGAGCAUCCUGCUCACUUCCCUGCUGUUCCUAAAAAGGCCUUGCUUGUUCAGCUCUGCUCUCUUGUGCAUUUCUGCCCAAAGGAGGUGUGGAGUUCUACAGAUCUGGAGCUUCUUCCACAGGAUGGCUGCUUGGGGGAGGGAAAGGUAUUCCAUCCUUAUUUAUCCAAUGGCAUCGCCAGUGACCAUUGCACACUGAAUGCUCCUGGGUGGAAUAUUCAAGAAGGCUUUAUGAGAACUGGCCAGCCCGUUAUAUUCCAGAGGUGCCUUCAUAGGUGUGUAAACUGGAAAUCAAAUCUGCUUGCUUGCUUGCUUUCUUGCUUUCUUUCAAGAUUUUUUAUUCAUUUGAGAGAGAGAGAGAGAGAGAGACAGGGAGAGCACAAGCAGGGGCAGAGGCAAAGGGAGAGGGAGACACAGACUCCCCACUGAGCAGGAAGCCUGAUGUGGGACUCGAUCCCACAACCUGGAGAUCAUGACCUGAGCCGAAGGCAGAUGCUUAACCAUCUGAGCCACCCAGGCGCCCCUCAAAUCUGUUUUCUUUUAGCACCAAUGUUAUUAAAGCCCAGGUGGUUUUCCAAGCUAGCCAGCAGGUAUCUGUUCAACUUGUAUGAAGAAUUAUUGAACUAUAUGAAUAACUUUGCAUGUAUAUUACUUACCUAAGAUUAUAGAUGGAAAAAACAAAAACUGGUUCCAGAGUUAAGAGACUUCGUAUCAUUUCGUUCGUAUCGUUAGAAAAAUAUUUACAUCUCCCUCUUAAGCUGUAUGUUUUGGGUUUGUAGGACAUUUCUGUCUUCCAAGUCUAUAUUAUUUCUUGAAUAAUAUCAGUACAGCAAACGGGUGGUGUGUGAUAAAACACAUUUGUCAGGUGGCAGUGGGGAGGGGCAGUCCCGAUAACGACAAUGCCCGUGGUUGACAUACAUAAUUGAGCCUGCAGUCCAUGCCCCCAACUGGACCCCCUUAGCUGAGCCCUGGGGAACAGUCAGGCACGGGUCACUGCUGUCCAUACGUAGCUCAGCGGCCCCAUGUCCCACGUGGUAUAAGCACUAAUUACUGGGGCCCCACUUCUUAAGAGGAGCCAGGAGGGCAGUGGGAUGGGCCUCUGAAGAGUAGACACCUCUGGGCAAAGGCAGCGCUGCGGGGUGGGGCGGGGGUGGUGGGGGUUGUUCCUGGGGCGGACACCCUCCCUCCCCGCCCCCUGGUGAAUGCAGUCCAGCUGAAGCACCAAGCUCAGGGUCAGUCCAGCAGAGGUUCUAAUGGGAACGUCACCGUCUUUUCUAGAAUCCCCAAUCUGUCGGGGCCGGAGGGGCUGCAUUGCCCAGAUGCUUUCGUUUCAGGAUGAGAAGCGGGGCCCCGCGAGGGCUGUGGCUCCCAGGCUGGGGGGAUCACACAGAGGCUCGACAGGUAUUCUGAUUUGUCCUAAACCCAGCUU